rnacentral:rRNA from 1 species
AACGAACGCUGGCGGCAUGCCUAACACAUGCAAGUCGAACGAGACCUUCGGGUCUAGUGGCGCACGGGUGCGUAACGCGUGGGAACCUGCCCUUAGGUUCGGAAUAACUCCCCGAAAGGGGUGCUAAUACCGGAUAAUGUCUUCGGACCAAAGAUUUAUCGACUUUGGAUGGGCCCGCGUUGGUUUAGCUAGUUGGUAGGGUAAAAGCCUACCAAGGCGACGAUCCAUAGCUGGUCUGAGAGGAUGAUCAGCCACACUGGGACUGAGACACGGCCCAGACUCCUACGGGAGGCAGCAGUGGGGAAUAUUGGAAAAUGGGCGAAAGCCUGAUCCAGCAAUGCCGCGUGAGUGAUGAAGGCCUUAGGGUUGUAAAGCUCUUUUACCCGGGAUGAUAAUGACAGUACCGGGAGAAUAAGCUCCGGCUAACUCCGUG